rnacentral:rRNA from 1 species
UACGUAGGUGGCGAGCGUUGUCCGGAUUUACUGGGCGUAAAGGGAGCGUAGGCGGACUUUUAAGUGAGAUGUGAAAUACCCGGGCUCAACUUGGGUGCUGCAUUUCAAACUGGAAGUCUAGAGUGCAGGAGAGGAGAAUGGAAUUCCUAGUGUAGCGGUGAAAUGCGUAGAGAUUAGGAAGAGCACCAGUGGCGAAGGCGAUUCUCUGGACUGUAACUGACGCUGAGGCUCGAAAGCGUGGGGAGCAAACAGGAUUAGAUA